CAAUCAAACUUCGUGAUAGCUGGUUCUCUCCGAAAUAUAUUUAGGUAUAGCGUUGUGUCGUAAUAUAAGGGGGUAGAGCACUGAAUGGGCUAGGGCAUACACCAAUGUACCAAACCCUAUCAAACUCCGAAUACCUUAUAUGUAAUCACAGCAGUCAGGCGGCGAGUGAUAAAAUCCGUCGUCAAGAGGGAAACAACCCAGACUACCAGCUAAGGUCCCUAAAUCUUACUUAAGUGGAAAACGAUGUGAAGUUACUUAAACAACCAGGAGGUUGGCUUAGAAGCAGCCAUCCUUUAAAGAAAGCGUAAUAGCUCACUGGUCUAGUGAUUUUGCGCGGAAAAUAUAACGGGGCUAAAGUAAGUACCGAAGCUGUAGACUUAGUUUACUAAGUGGUAGGAGAGCGUUCUAUUUGCGUCGAAGGUAUACCGGUAAGGAGUGCUGGAGCGAAUAGAAGUGAGCAUGCAGGCAUGAGUAGCGAUAAUUAAUGUGAGAAUCAUUAACGCCGUAAACCCAAGGUUUCCUACGCGAUGCUCGUCAUCGUAGGGUUAGUCGGGUCCUAAGUCGAGUCCGAAAGGGGUAGACGAUGGCAAAUUGGUUAAUAUUCCAAUACCAACAUUAGUGUGCGAUGGAAGGACGCUUAGGGCUAAGGGGGCUAGCGGAUGGAAGUGCUAGUCUAAGGUCGUAGGAGGUUGUACAGGCAAAUCCGUAUAACAAUACUCCGAGAACUGAAAGGCUUUUUGAAGUCUUCGGAUGGAUAGAAGAACCCCUGAUGCCGUCGAGCCAAGAAAAGUUUCUAAGUUUAGCUAAUGUUGCCCGUACCGUAAACCGACACAGGUGGGUGGGAUGAGUAUUCUAAGGCGCGUGGAAGAACUCUCUUUAAGGAACUCUGCAAAAUAGCACCGUAUCUUCGGUAUAAGGUGUGGUUAGCUUUGUAUUAGGAUUUACUCCGAAAGCAAGGAAACUUACAACAAAGAGUCCCUCCCGACUGUUUACCAAAAACACAGCACUCUGCUAACUCGUAAGAGGAUGUAUAGGGUGUGACGCCUGCCCGGUGCUCGAAGGUUAAUUGAUGGGGUUAGCAUUAGCGAAGCUCUUGAUCGAAGCCCGAGUAAACGGCGGCCGUAACUAUAACGGUCCUAAGGUAGCGAAAUUCCUUGUCGGUUAAAUACCGACCUGCAUGAAUGGCGUAACGAGAUGGGAGCUGUCUCAAAGAGGGAUCCAGUGAAAUUGUAGUGGAGGUGAAAAUUCCUCCUACCCGCGGCAAGACGGAAAGACCCCGUGGACCUUUACUACAGCUUGACACUGCUACUUGGAUAAGAAUGUGCAGGAUAGGUGGGAGGCUUUGAGUAUAUGACGCCAGUUGUAUAUGAGCCAUUGUUGAGAUACCACUCUUUCUUAUUUGGGUAGCUAACCAGCUUGAGUUAUCCUCAAGUGGGACAAUGUCUGGUGGGUAGUUUGACUGGGGCGGUCGCCUCCCAAAUAAUAACGGAGGCUUACAAAGGUUGGCUCAGAACGGUUGGAAAUCGUUCGUAGAGUAUAAAGGUAUAAGCCAGCUUAACUGCAAGACAUACAAGUCAAGCAGAGACGAAAGUCGGUCUUAGUGAUCCGGUGGUUCUGUGUGGAAGGGCCAUCGCUCAAAGGAUAAAAGGUACCCCGGGGAUAACAGGCUGAUCUCCCCCAAGAGCUCACAUCGACGGGGAGGUUUGGCACCUCGAUGUCGGCUCAUCGCAUCCUGGGGCUGGAGCAGGUCCCAAGGGUAUGGCUGUUCGCCAUUUAAAGCGGUACGCGAGCUGGGUUCAGAACGUCGUGAGACAGUUCGGUCCCUAUCUGCCGUGGGCGUAAGAAGAUUGAAGAGAUUUGACCCUAGUACGAGAGGACCGGGUUGAACAAACCACUGGUGUAGCUGUUGUUCUGCCAAGAGCAUCGCAGCGUAGCUAAGUUUGGAAAGGAUAAACGCUGAAAGCAUCUAAGCGUGAAGCCAACUCUAAGAUGAAUCUUCUCUAAGCUCUCUAGAAGACUACUAGUUUGAUAGGCUGGGUGUGUAAUGGAUGAAAGUCCUUUAGCUGACCAGUACUAAUAGAGCGUUUGGCUUAUCUUUAAUAAAGCAU
rnacentral:rRNA from 1 species